CCAAUACUCCCUCCAUCCGGAAAUACUUGUCUUCAAAAUGGAUGUAUCUAUAACUAAAAUAAGUCUAGAUACAACCAUUUUGAGGACAAGUAUUUCCGGACGGAGGGAGUAUUAU
rnacentral:pre_miRNA from 1 species